rnacentral:rRNA from 1 species
UAGGGACCUGUAUGAACGGCUAAAUGAAUAUUUAACUGUCUCUUUUAACCAAUCAGUGAAACUGAUCUUCCAGUACAAAAGCUGGAAUAAUAAUAUAAGACGAGAAGACCCUGUGGAGCUUUAAAUUUUGACCAAAAUAUAACCAUCACAAUUAUUUAUGCUCAACACUUUAAGUUGGGGCGACUUCGGAUAAAAAUAAAACACCCGAGUGAAUGAGGCACUGCCUAAAAAAGGCCUACAAGCCAAAACUAACACCGACCCAGUACUACUGAUCAACGAACCAAGUUACCCCAGGGAUAACAGCGCCAUCUUCUUCAAGAGUUCAUAUCGACAAGAAGGUUUACGACCUCGAUGUUGGAUCAGGACACCCAAAUGGUGCAGCCGCUAUUAAAGGUUCGUUUGUUCAACGAUUAACAGU